rnacentral:rRNA from 1 species
UGGUGCAAUCAUACCAGCGUUAAUUCAUUGGAUCCCAUCAAAACUCCGCAGUUAAGCACGCUUGGGCUAGAGUAGUACUGGGAUGG